rnacentral:rRNA from 1 species
AACGAACGCUGGCGGCAGGCUUAACACAUGCAAGUCGAACGGGUGUAGCAAUACAUCAGUGGCAGACGGGUGAGUAACACGUGGGAACCUUCCUGGGGGUACGGAACAACUCAGGGAAACUUGAGCUAAUACCGUAUACGUCCGUAAGGAGAAAGAUUCAUCGCCCCUAGACGGGCCCGCGUCGGAUUAGGUAGUUGGUGGGGUAACGGCCUACCAAGCCUACGAUCCGUAGCUGAUCUGAGAGGAUGAUCAGCCACACUGGGACUGAGACACGGCCCAGACUCCUACGGGAGGCAGCAGUGGGGAAUCUUGGACAAUGGGCGCAAGCCUGAUCCAGCCAUGCCGCGUGAGUGAAGAAGGCCUUAGGGUUGUAAAGCUCUUUUACCAGGGACGAUAAUGACGGUACCUGGAGAAUAAG